AGUUUCCCCCAUGCUGUUCUUGUGAUAGCGAGUGAGUUCUCAUGAGAUCUGAUGGUUUUACACGUUUGACAGUUGCUCCUUCACAUGCUCACACUCUGUGGCCUGCCGCCAUGUAAGAAGUAACUGCUUCCCCUUCUGCUAUGACUGUAAGUUUCCUCUGC